rnacentral:rRNA from 1 species
ACCCGCUGAACUUAAGCAUAUCAAUAAGCGGAGGAAAAGAAACUAACAAGGAUUCCCCUAGUAACUGCGAGUGAAGAGGGAAAAGCUCAAAUUUAAAAUCUGGCAGCUUCGCUGUCCGAAUUGUAAUUUAGAGAAGUGUUACCCGCGUUGGACCGUGUAUAAGUCUCCUGGAAUGGAGCGUCAUAGAGGGUGAGAAUCCCGUCUUUGACACGGACUACCAAGGCAUUGUGGUAUGCUCUCGAAGAGUCGAGUUGUUUGGGAAUGCAGCUCUAAAUGGGUGGUAAAUUCCAUCUAAAGCUAAAUAUUGGCGAGAGACCGAUAGCGAACAAGUACCGUGAGGGAAAGAUGAAAAGAACUUUGGAAAGAGAGUUAAACAGUACGUGAAAUUGCUGAAAGGGAAACGCUUGAAGUCAGUCGCGUUGGCCGGGUAUCAGCCUUGCUUUUGUGAGGUGUACUUCCUGGUUGACGGGUCAGCAUCAGUUUCGACCACUGGAAAAAGGCUUGGGGAAUGUGGCACCUUCGGGUGUGUUAUAGCCCCUUGUUGUAUACAGUGGUUGGGACUGAGGAACUCAGCACGCCGCAAGGCCGGGUUUCGACCACGUUCGUGCUUAGGAUGCUGGCAAAAUGGCUUUAAUCGACCCGUCUUGAAACACGG